AUGCAGCAGCACUGGGGACAUAUUCCACUUCAACAGAUGAAACCUUUUCUCCCCAUUGUUAGUUACAGGUCUAUGGGAACACUCACUAACCAGGUCCUGCAUGCCCAAGUCAGCAGCAGUCUUCUCCAGGGUGCCAGACUUCCCUGCCCUUUCAUAUACAUAAAUCUGGUUAAAAGAGGAAAUAAAUGCUCCAUCUCAGAUACCACUGUGUGAUAGCUGUUGGCAUGUAUUCACCAAUGGAGAGCUGAAUGUCAGCCGCAUCAAUUUUGACUUCCCUUCUUAGGAAGAAGCAACAAGCAUACACUAUGGAAUCAGAUAUUGCAAUGGAUAAUAAGAGAAGUUUUUGAAGAAGACAAAAAUCAAUUUCUCACCCUGUCAAGUUUUUUGAGGGAAAAAAAAAAAUCAAGAGAAGACUAGUGGGGAUAAAGACAAUUUCUGAAAGGGAUUGUUGUUAGUGAUAGAAGUUCAGAGAAGCCAGCUGAAGUUCUGGUUAUUGAAGAGAAGGUCCCUGGCAUUUCUUACUAGAAGCAAGCCAGAAAAUACAGUGGAACAUAAAAAGUCCCAGGGAGGAAGAGUGAGACUCAGUGUUUUGAGCUGAUGCGUAAAACGUGCCUCUCAGUACUUGCUAAGGUUGUAACACUGGGAAGAAGC
rnacentral:lncRNA from 1 species